UCAAGGUCAAUUGCCUUCUGAGUUGACUAUGUUCAAUCCUGCACCGGUUUCUGAUCAAGGAAGUGUGCCAACUAAUACAACAAGUUCUGGACAUGAGGAAAAUCAUAUGUGAUAGUUGAAGAAUAUAAUAUAAUGUGGAAGUUAAUUGAAUCAUUUUAUGUUUUGAGAACCAUUGCAGUACUUCAUGAUAGUUUUUGCUGACUAAUAUUGUACUUGAAUUUGAAUUUGAAUUCGUAUAUUUGUUAUACUUUGA